rnacentral:rRNA from 1 species
UCGGAAUGGGAACACUGUAAAAAAGGUUAUCGAUUAACAAUUGGAGGGCAAGUCUGGUGCCAGCAGCCGCGGUAAUUCCAGCUCCAAUAAGGAAAACUAAAGUUGCUGUGUUUAAAAAGCUCGUAGUUGAAUUUCGGGUAUUUGUUGCUAGCUGGUCUAACUGGCCAUGUUGGUUAACAGAUCCUCAUUUGCUGGACGGCUGGCGAUGAUCUUUAUCGAUUGUCGUCAGUUGCCAGAACGUUUUACUUGAGAAAAUUAGAGUGCUAAAAGCAGGCUCACGCCUAUAUAUAUUGCAUGGAAUAAUGAAAUAAGAUCUCGAUUUUAUUUCGUUGGUUUUAGAAAUUGAGAUAAUGAUUAAUAGGAUCAGAGGGGGGCGUACGUACUGUGGUGUGAGAGGUGAAAUUCUUGGAUCGCCACAGGACGAACAGCAGCGAAGGCGUUCGCCAAGAUGUUUUCAUUAAUCAAGAACGAAAGUUUGAGGUUCGAAGACGAUUAGAUACCGU